GGCUAACGCUGGCGGCGUGUCUUAGCCAUGCAAGUCGAGCGGACUUAUGGGGUAACUUAUAAGUCAGCGGCGGACGGCGGAGUAACACGUAGCUAACCUACCCUCUGGACGGGGAUAACCUACCGAAAGGUGGGCUAAUACCCGAUGUAGUCAUCCUGUAUAGGGGUGAUGAAAGGUGGGCUUCUGUUUACAAGCUCAUGCUGGAGGAGGGGGCUGCGGCCUAUCAGGUAGUUGGUAGGGUAAUAGCCUACCAAGCCGAUGACGGGUAGCCGGCCUGAGAGGGUGACCGGCCCGAGGGGCACUGAGAUACGGGUCCCACUCCUACGGGAGGCAGCAGGCUAGAAAUUUGGGCAAUGGGGGAAACCCUGACCCAGUGACGCCGCGUGCAGGAAGGAGCCCUUCGGGGUGUAAACUGCUGUCGUGUAGGGAGAAGGGUACUAAAGGUGAACAAUCUUAGUACUUGACGGUACUACAGGAGGAAGCCCAGGCUAACCUCGUGCCAGCAGCCUCGGUAAAAUAGCGUACU
rnacentral:rRNA from 1 species